UGUAGGUGAUAUACCUAAACCUAGUUUGGGUUUGAAUUGUAUUGGUGGAAAUGCAGCUAAUAUGGUGGUAAAAUUCUUAAAGCAAGGUGGUACUAUGGUUACAUAUGGAGGGAUGUCAAAGAAGCCAAUUACCAUAUCUACUCCAUAUUUUUAUAUUCAAGGAUAUUUCCUUGAAAGGAUACCUGUUACAAGAAAAGAAUUUAGAUGAAGCACAAUAUAGGUGUUCGAUUGAUCAUCUAUUGGCCCUCGUUCGUGCUGGGAUAUUGAAAUAUGAGAUGGAUAUGGUAUCUUUUAAAGAUUUUCAUAUAGCUCUUGAAAAGGCAAUGGGAAAACAAGGAAGUCAAAGGAAACAAAUUCUAAAAUUUUAAAAUAAAUUAGCUUCGAUUAUUGUUAGACUAUAUUUUUCAACUUGAAUUUUGUCAUAAGUA